CAUGAAGUUAAAUUAUUUCCUUUUAUUGUGAUUCUGGCUAUUUCCUUUUUGGUGCUAUGGGAAUGAAUAUGGAAGCAAGAUGUCUCCUAACAAUGGACCAAGGACAUUGCGUCGACCUUAUACAAAUGUAUGCUUACAACAGGAAUACUGAUAAAUGCGAAAGAUUUCUCUACGGAGGGUGGGGGAAAUGAGAACCGUUUCAGAACCAGGAAAGAGUGCAAAAGGGCUUGCUAGAUUGACCACAAAAUUUCAUUUGCACUGAUCUAUUCUCUAUCAUAUAUGAGAUGAAUUAUUAAAUAUUGCAUUUUGAAACU